GAUGAACGCUGGCGGCGUGCCUAAUACAUGCAAGUCGAGCGAAUGGAUUGAGAGCUUGCUCUUAUGAAGUUAGCGGCGGACGGGUGAGUAACACGUGGGUAACCUGCCCAUAAGACUGGGAUAACUCCGGGAAACCGGGGCUAAUACCGGAUAACAUUUUGAACCGCCUGGUUCGAAAUUGAAAGGCGGCUUCGGCUGUCACUUAUGGAUGGACCCGCGUCGCAUUAGCUAGUUGGUGAGGUAACGGCUUACCAAGGCAACGAUGCGUAGCCGACCUGAGAGGGUGAUCGGCCACACUGGGACUGAGACACGGCCCAGACUCCUACGGGAGGCAGCAGUAGGGAAUCUUCCGCAAUGGACGAAAGUCUGACGGAGCAACGCCGCGUGAGUGAUGAAGGCUUUCGGGUCGUAAAACUCUGUUGUUAGGGAAGAACAAGUGCUAGUUGAAUAAGCUGGCACCUUGACGGUACCUAACCAGAAAGCCACGGCUAACUACGUGCCAGCCGCCGCAGUAA
rnacentral:rRNA from 1 species